UUUUACUUGUUACUUUUCUUUGUCACUUCCACUCUCUUCUCAAGCUAUUAUCCUAUCUUAUUUUGCCUAUUCUGGUGCCAUGAUCAAGGCCUAUCCGCAACAAUUCCAAUGCAUAGUUGGAAGCUCAAAGUUGGAACAUUACGCUUAUAUUGACAGCAAUCCUUCAGUCGACGGACCGCAACCUUGUGGUCGACCGCCAUAGGUACAAUGGAGUGGCUUUGGGGUUCUGGUGGUCAACCAGUGGGUACUCAAUUCUAUAUGGUGGCUGACCAAGCUUGGACCUUAUAAGUCAAUCGAGGGACAACUGGUGACUAUAGAAAACAUCUUUUUGACUUCUACCAUCAUCCCCUGAGGCAUUGACAAACUGUGAUUGGGAUAUCUUAAUCUUAUUGAGUUAGCAAUUUUGCAAACUUAUUAGUCAUUUAAACUGUAAAUUUCAUGAUCAUAAUAGCUAUAUAUUUAUUAUGAUAUUGGACAUAGUAGUCACGUUAAAUAGCCACUCUAUAUAGACACUUUAUGAUUCAUGAUAGCAUGCUCGCAUGACAUGAGUUGAGUA